CUCUCCCCUUCAAGCUUAUCUAAUUUUCAAUCAUGAAUGUGCAAAGCAUACCAAAAGCACUGAAAGUUAACAGUUCAUUAAGCAAACUAGAAGAUUUCAAGGACAUGUACAUACAUUUCCGAUGGCAGUGAUACGAAACCUAAGCUCAACACUAACAAGAAAAGAUACAUAUGACUGGAGACACUGAAAAUUAGAUAAGCUUGAAGGGGAGAGGCCAAGGGGUGGACCUGGGGACCUCAACCUUGUCUUUGAUUCGCUCAAUCUUCUUGUCCUUCUUGGGCCUCGCGUUUCCGUACGAUCCCUUGAAUCUCUUCCCUCUCUUUGUACUCUUAUCCCCUCUCCCGCAUAGGAUCGGCGCCGCUCCCACCCCAACUCUGGUUGCCGUUGAUGACGGCUGAGCUGCCAUCACCCGCCUCGCCACAGCGCCACACCAUUGCGUCAUCGUCGCCAUUACUGUUUUUCACACAGAAGCUGACAGAAAACCGAGACAGAGGAGGGAGGAGGCUAUGGCUAUAGCAGUGAGUUCCUACAUCAUGGGCCGCGUCGGGUAAGACGAUGGAUGCAAUUAUGGGCUUAUAGAAGGCCCAAAUAUCAGGGCAGAAUUUGCUGUGAUUGGACAUGGUGGAGUGGAGUUUUCGCUGGUGUGGCUCCUUAUCAAACACGAUGGUAAUUUAUCAACGAAAGGAUUCUGUUUUCUUCUCUAGUGUCUGUAUAGCUGGAAAGACAAUGAUAGCAAACGGAAGCUAGAGUUGCAGUCCAAAAAAAGUUUGUUCUAUAUCGUAAGAUGGCGUUUGGCUCAGCGUUUUAGGUAGUUGAAUGAACAAAG
rnacentral:misc_RNA from 1 species